GACGAACGCUGGCGGCGUGCCUAAUACAUGCAAGUAGAACGCUGAAGAGAGGAGCUUGCUCUUCUUGGAUGAGUUGCGAACGGGUGAGUAACGCGUAGGUAACCUGCCUUGUAGCGGGGGAUAACUAUUGGAAACGAUAGCUAAUACCGCAUAACAAUAGGUGACACAUGUCAUUUAUUUGAAAGGGGCAAUUGCUCCACUACAAGAUGGACCUGCGUUGUAUUAGCUAGUAGGUGAGGUAACGGCUCACCUAGGCGACGAUACAUAGCCGACCUGAGAGGGUGAUCGGCCACACUGGGACUGAGACACGGACCAGACUCCUACGGGAGGCAGCAGUAGGGAAUCUUCGGCAAUAGGGGCAACCCUGACCGAGCAACGCCGCGUGAGUGAAGAAGGUUUUCGGAUCGUAAAGCUCUGUUGUAAGUCAAGAACGAGUGUGAGAGUGGAAAGUUCACACUGUGACGGUAGCUUACCAGAAAGGGACGGCUAACUACGUG
rnacentral:rRNA from 1 species